rnacentral:rRNA from 1 species
AAUUUUAGACAAUGGGCGCAAGCCUGAUCUAGCCAUGCCGCGUGWGUGAUGAAGGUCUUAGGAUCGUAAAGCUCUUUCGCCAGGGAUGAUAAUGACAGUACCUGGUAAAGAAACCCCGGCUAACUCCGUGCCAGCAGCCGCGGUAAUACGGAGGGGGUUAGCGUUGUUCGGAAUUACUGGGCGUAAAGCGUACGUAGGCGGAUCAGAAAGUUKGGGGUGAAAUCCCSKGKCUCAACCCCGGAACUGCCUCCAAAACUCCUGGUCUUGAGUUCGAGAGAGGUGAGUGGAAUUCCGAGUGUAGAGGUGAAAUUCGUAGAUAUUUGGAGGAACACCAGUGGCGAAGGCGGCUCACUGGCUCGAUACUGACGCUGAGGUGCGAAAGUGUGGGGAGCAAACAGGAUUAGAUACCCUGGUAGUCCACACCGUAAACGAUGAAUGCCAGUCGUCGGGCAGUAUACUGUUCGGUGACACACCUAACGCAUUAAGCAUUCCGCCCUGG